rnacentral:lncRNA from 1 species
AGGCUCAGAAGCCCAAAGCGAAGGCACGCAGGCAGCUCCGACAGGUACACUGCACCCUGGCUCCGCGGCACUCUGCCCCACCGGCUCGGCACGGCUUGCUGUAACGCUACCCUUACCGCUCUGCUCCAACAAGAGCUGCGCCUUACCUCACCUGUCAACGCCGCCCACCUCCCCACCACUCGAGAGAAGGAAGAGACCGCCGAAAAGGCAGACCUCUGUGCUCAGCCACUUUAUUUCAGCUAUAAAACGCUGCCCAUAGAGGAAGCGGCUCGCUGUUCUCACCUCGGCGGGACGCUCAACCCCGGUGGCCGGCAGCCCCCCCAGCCCUCUCCGCCUCCCCCUACAGACGGCGGAGAUCGCCGCUCCGUGACGGCCGGGGGGCACUCCCAGCGCCGCGGCUGUUCCACGCCGGAGAGAGCCCACGGGAGGGACCGGGACAGCUUCCACCGGAGGGAGGGAGGCACGGAGAGCCGCCCGGGGACACGCCGCUGGCACGGCAGAGAAGAAGGGGGCAGGGAGGGUAGACAGGGCCGGGAAAAGUUGCACCCACGAGGGAAACCGGGAGAGGGGGCAGGCGGCCAGCACCGGUCCGGCUGCCAGGAAAGGGGAGCUAGGCACUGCUGCCGGGACAGGAACCCCCGCCCCAGGAGCGGAGCGCGGGCACCGCGCGGAGGUCUCGGGCCCCUACCUGCGAUGGGCGGCGACCGCCACGUCGCGCAGCGCCUCCGUUCCGCUCAGCGGCCGCGCAGGCUGCCCCGGCCCGCCCGCCGGCGACCGAGAAGGAAGCGGAGCUCUGCCGCCGUCGCACGGGCAGAGGAAGGCGAGGAGGCGGCGUGCCCGCCCCCUGCCGGUGGCGGACCGGGCCCGCGGCGGUGGCGCCGCCGUCUACAGCCGCUGCCUCUCGAUCUGGGGAGGGUCGUCCUGACAGCGGGGUGUGGGGCUGGGCUGCUUACAUUUGUACUUCUGCAGUCACGAGUUCAACGGAGAACAGCAUGGGGCUGCGCGCACCUGGAAAUGUUAAAAUGA